rnacentral:rRNA from 1 species
GACUCCUACGGGAGGCAGCAGUAGGGAAUAUUGCGCAAUGCCCGAAAGGGUGACGCAGCGACGCCGCGUGGGUGAUGAAGCUUCUUGGAGCGUAAAGCCCUUUCAGAAGGGAAGAACCGCAUGGAGGUGAACCUCCGUGCCUGACGGUACCUUCAGAAGAAGCUCCGGCUAACUCCGUGCCAGCAGCCGCGGUAAUACGGAGGGAGCAAGCGUUGUUCGGAAUCACUGGGCGUAAAGGGCGCGUAGGCGGGCCGGUGAGUCAGGUGUGAAAACCCGGGGCUUAACCCCGGGCCUGCACUUGAUACUAUCGGUCUUGAGUACGAGAGAGGAAAGCGGAAUUCCAGGUGUAGCGGUGAAAUGCGUAGAUAUCUGGGAGAACACCGGUGGCGAAGGCGGCUUUCUGGCUCGAUACUGACGCUGAUGCGCGAAGGCUAGGGGAGCAAACAGGAUUAGAUACCCUGGUAGUCCUAGCGGUAAACGAUGGGCACUAGGUGUUGGAGGACUUACCCCUUCAGUGCCGCAGCUAACGCAUUAAGUGCCCCGCCUGGGGAGUACGAUCGCAAGAUUGAAACUCAAAGGAAUUGACGGGGCCCCGCACAAGCAGUGGAGUAUGUGGUUUAAUUCGAUGCAACGCGAAGAACCUUACCUGGGCUUGACAUCAACUGGAAAGCCAUAGAGAUAUGGCCCCCUCUUCGGAGGUCGGUUGACAGGUGCUGCAUGGCUGUCGUCAGCUCGUGCCGUGAGGUGUUGGGUUAAGUCCCGCAACGGGCGCAACCCCUGUCCAUAGUUACCAGCGGUUCGGCCGGGCACUCUAUGGAGACUGCCUCGGUUAACGAGGAGGAAGGUGGGGAUGACGUCAAGUCCUCAUGGCCCUUACGUCCAGGGCUACACACGUACUACAAUGGCCGGUACAGAGGGUUGCAAUGCCGCGAGGU